rnacentral:rRNA from 1 species
UACGGGGGGGGCAAGCGUUGUUCGGAAUUACUGGGCGUAAAGGGCUCGUAGGCGGCCAACUAAGUCAGACGUGAAAUCCCUCGGCUUAACCGGGGAACUGCGUCUGAUACUGGAUGGCUAGAGUUUGGGAGAGGGAUGCGGAAUUCCAGGUGUAGCGGUGAAAUGCGUAGAUAUCUGGAGGAACACCGGUGGCGAAGGCGGCAUCCUGGACCAACACUGACGCUGAGGAGCGAAAGCGUGGGGAGCGAACCGG